CCUGGUGUGGCUCAGAGGUUACAGCAUCUGCCUUCAAUGCGGGAGACCUGGGUUCGAUCCCUCAGUCAGGA
rnacentral:tRNA from 1 species